GGUCUGGCCGGGCGGUCCGCCCUCUGGGUGAGCACUGUUCCGACGUCGGGCCUAUCCUUCUGAAUAACCGGCAUGUCAUUAAUUUGGUGCGCCGGGGAAGCAGGACUGUUACCUUGAAAAAAUUAGAGUGCUUAAAGCAGGUUAUUGCCUGAAUACAUUAGCAUGGAAUAAUGAAAUAGGACGGCAUGGUUCUAUUUUGUUGGUUUCUAGGAUCACCGUA
rnacentral:rRNA from 1 species